GAUUAACGCUGGCGGUGUGUCUAAUACAUGCAAGUCGAGCGAAGCUUACGUCUUCGGAUGUAAUCUUAGUGGCGGACGGGUGAGUAACGCGUGGGAACCUGCCCAGUAGUGGGGGAUAACUGUUGGAAACGACAGCUAAUACCGCAUACGCCCUAUGGGGGAAAGAUUUAUUGCUAUUGGAGGGGCCCGCGUCAGAUUAGGUAGUUGGUGAGGUAAUGGCUCACCAAGCCGAUGAUCUUUAGCUGGUUUGAGAGGAUGAUCAGGCACACUGGGACUGGGACACGGCCCAGACUCCUACGGGAGGCAGCAGUGGGGAAUAUUGGACAAUGGGGGAAACCCUGAUCCAGCAAUGCCGCGUGAGUGAAGAAGGCCUUCGGGUUGUAAAGCUCUUUCACCUGCGAAGAUAAUGACGGUAGCAGGAGAAGAAGCCCCGGCUAACUCCGUGCCAGCCGCCGCAGUAA
rnacentral:rRNA from 1 species